AUUAUUUGAGGUAGCAAAUUUCGUUGCAACCACGCACCCGAUGGGUUAAAAGAGAUGCAGGGGCUGCGACGCCUGCCAAAUAAU
rnacentral:ncRNA from 1 species